CUCCUCAUCUUCUCCUCAGACUACAAAUGUAAUGGUUGGAGCUCCAGCAGCUAUCUUCUUCCCUGAGGUGGCCUUAAGAAUGGAAGUCCUCACAUUAGGGUGACAAGAGAAAAGGAGUCUGGGUCCCUGAUCCGUGGGACACUAACUCCCUAUCCCAGCUGCCUACCUCAAAUGUAUUUCAAGUGAUUGCCUUGGUUUCCGAUUGUUGCUCGGACAAAUCACUCCAAAGUUACUAGCUUAAAAUGACACUUUUUUUUUUUUUAACCAUGGUAUUCUAUAGACCAGAGUCUGACAGGGGUCUUAAUGGGCAAGAUCUAGGUGUCAGCAGGAUGUAUGGUAGUUGUGCCUCCUAGUCUUUUCCAGAUUCUAGAAGCUCCCCACACUCCUUGGAUCAUGGCCUCUCAUUCUGUCUUCAAAGCAGCAAUAUCAGGCGUAUCCUUCUCAUACUGCCAUCACUUUGGUUCUCUCUUACGAUUUCCUCUUCCACUAUAAAGUAUUUUGGGGAUAGCAUAGGACCUACCUGAAUAAUCCAGGAUGAUUAAGGUCAGUUUAUUAGCGACUUUGAUUUCAACUGCCUCCUCAAUUCCCCUUUGCCACAUAACCUAAGAUAUUCACAGGUUCCAGAGAUCGGGACAUAGACACACAGUGGAAGAGAAAUAAAUUUCUAUCUUAUACAAACCACUGAUUUUCAAGUCUUUGUUGCCCACAGCUGAGCCUAACGUAUUCCUGUGACAGACACUUGUUGAAUACCCACUGCCAUGCCAUGGUGGUGCUGGCUGGGGUCUGAUAAUACUGGAUGAUCUAAUAUUUCUGGUCCUCCAGAGGCCGUGAGACUCAUCUUACAACAUCACAUGGCCCCAGAAUCAUCCACAAGCCCACAGUAAUGCCACCAGAGAAGAAAGAGGCCAUUCACCAAUGAACUGACCACAGCUCCUGCUCCCCAGCCUCUCAGGUUUGCCUCAGCACAGAGAAGGAUCAGGGUCAGGAAGAGACUUGCCCAGGUGUCCAUAGAAGUUCAUGGCAUUGCCAAGACUAGAACCCAAGUCUCUGAAUACCACUCCUCCAUCACAUUAUUUUCCUGGGUUUUUCAAGGAAGGACAUACUGGACAUACUACCCUUGGUCCCUGGCACCCAGUCACAACCUCUGGCACAGGCCGAAGACCGUGUUUACCUCCAUUGCAAUGAUUCCAGUGACAUCAGAGACUUACAGAAUUUGGCUGGCCUUUCUUUAUUCUCUUUCUACCUCUGGGCUAUGCAUAGUGAAAUUCUCUGAUGGUAUUCAUUUUCCUGCCCUUCACACCCUCAUGCUCCAUUUUUCCUAUUUGUUAAGUAAGUUCCUAUGAGUACUUAAUAGGACUUAUGAGGUAACAUGGAUAGCCAAAGAUCAAGUUAAGGGCUCAGGCUUGUGAAGUUAUGUGAUUCAGUGCCAUCUUUGAUUUUGUCCUCCUCUAUCUCUCUGAUUGUCAGCAUUUCCAUCUUGAAAAAAAAGGGGGGGGAGGAGACAGCAAAUGUGCUUCAAAAUACUUGCAAGGAACAGCUCAUAAAACUCAUUGUGAGGCACAUUAGCACCGCACACAGUGUCAUCUAACUGCUUAUAAUGAAAUGUUGAGCAACUAGGAAUCCAGCUCACCCCAUCUGGCUCUGAGUCACACUCCCUAGUAACACUAAGUGAAAGUGAAGAGAACUUGCACCAGGCCAGGAUACAAAGCCGGGAAGUGCCUGACAGCCAACCUCACAUGGAGAUGUGCCUGAGAGCCAGUGGACCUGGAAAACCUUCAUAAAGCCAUUUGCUUAAACCCUUUGCUCUGCUCUUCUUAAAGAUCGAUUUCCCAAGCUCUCUUUGGUAACUGUUUCUGGGUUACACACCCAGAUAGUUGGAAAGACUUCCCUUAUGUAAUUCAAGUGUGUUUUCUUUGGCUCUGCCUUCAGUGGGAAGGGAAAAAAUUUAUUUGCAUUUCCCCCAUACCCCCACCUUUAUAGUAAUAUCCUUUCUGAUACCUCAUGGCUGGUAUUGAGAUAGCUCUUCUAUAGGACUUCUCAGUGUUCAUUGCACAUAAAUGCAGUGGGGUGUGUGUGUGUGUGUGUGUGUGUGUGUGUGUGUGUGUGUGUGUGACAUUUGCCAGGACUAGAACCCAGGUCUCUGAAUACCACUCCUGCAUCACAUUAUUUUCCUGGGUAUUUUGAUGAAGGACAUAUUGGACAUAAUCCCACAGGACAAACUCCCAUAAGAGUGUUUUGUUGUUGCUGUUGUUGUUUUAUGGCUGCACCUGCGGCAUAUGGAAGUUCCCAGGCCAGGGAUUGAAUCCAAGCCAAAGCUGCAACCUACACUGCAGCUGCAACAAUACCAGAUUCUUUAACACAUUGUGCUGGGCCAGGGAUCAAACCCACACCUCCACAGCAAUCCGAGCCACUGCAGUCAGAUUCUUAACCCACUACACUACAGUGGGACUCCCCCGUAAGAGUUUUCACAUUGUGUUAAAAAUGCUUGAGUCUGAGUGGUUUAGACCUGGAUGAGAUCUUAUAGAUCAUUUCUUCAAAAUAUCUAAAUUCUGCACAUGAGAAGAUUGUGGUUCUAUAUGGUCUUGCUCAAGGUUAUACAAUUAGUGUUGAGACAAAGAACUGUCAACCAGGCCUAUGGAAUUUUGAUAAUGAUGUAUCACUAGAUAAUAUUUAGCUUAUGCUAAUUCCUAAUUUUUACUUUCUUUGCAUAAUACCUCCUGAUAUUUGUAGAGCACUCAUAUUUAUUUUGAGCAAAAGCAGUCAUCCCCCUUCUUGUAUAAUAGUUGUUUACUCUUCUUCUGUCAGAGAACUCAUUUUCCCUCAAUUAAGCAUAAUCCUGCACAUUCAUGCCAACUUCUUUAACUUAAGGGGUCAUAUUGAAUUGCAAUUCUACUCUACUUGGUUUCAUCUUAACUUUAUGGAAGAGCUCCUAUAAGCCAGUCGCUGUCACGUAGCACCUCAUCUGAUCCUCCAGACAACCCUAUCUUAGGGAUAUUAUUAUUCACAUCUUAGAGUGGAAACAAAAUGAGUCAGAAAAAGAUUAAGCAGUAGACCCAAGGCUGUCCAUCUGCUGAGACCCAUGUCUUCUCUUUUGUGCUUAGGACAGCAUGUGACCUCUCACACAAUGGCAGCCAACCCGCAUAAUUUUCUUCUAGCAGUAAGUCAAAGAAUGGUGCUCUUUUUCCAACACACCUACCAUGGAAGUAAAUACUAAGUAGCAUAAUUAGCCAAGGCCAAUAGGUAGAGAAAGUCACAUACUCUUCAAGUUGAAGGUGAAUGAUAACUUCAACAUUCCCCACAACAGAGGUUAGUGAGAAGAAAGUGUAACUUUUCCUUUCAAUAUAUAGUCACAGCUAUGUAAACAAGGAGGAAAAUGAAGACGGUAGAUGGUAGAAGAUGCCUGGAGUCUGAAUGAAGGAGUGGUUGUUUCUGAGGGGGAUCAGGGAAAAUGCCUUGGAGGAAGGCCCCAGGCAUGCGUGAGCGGGAGGACUCAAAGAAGAAGACAUCAGGGCACAGGCAGUUGAGCCAGAUGUUAAGAGAAGGAGACCAAAGUGAGGACAGGUUUGGGAAAAGGCGUGAAAUGAAGAACUCCUGAAAUAACUGGGAGUAAUAAGCUGGGGCGGGGGGAGAUAGAUAAUUCUGGGUUUCCGUGUAUCUGAAGGGUAACCAGUCUAAGGCAGGUGAGACUUGCUCUGUGAAUUGAAAAUUCCAAGUUAUCGGUUAAUUAGGUUAUACACAGUCAGCAGUGGUCUCAGAAAAGCUAAGCCAAGAAGGAGGCACAUGGUUUCUAACCAUUAGACCUGCUCAGUAAUGGCAUGGCUUUCUUUGGAGAGAAAGCCACCCAGGAAACCCAGAGACCCCCCCCAGCCCAAGGAGCUGGGUUGUAGAAAGUAUUUCUGCAUUCUGGGGGGGAUGGGCUUAGAUAAACCCCAAAGGCACUUUCGUUUCUGAUUUUCUAAAAUUCCAAAAGCCCCACACAAGAAAGAACAUUUCAGACUGGAGAACAACAUGAGGGAGACUGGAUCUCCUCAGAAGAUGGGCCUUCCCUGUGCAAACAAUGCUCUGUCUCCAAGUGAAAGGAAUACUUUCCAAGGUACCAUCCAGCCUGGGUCUUAAAUUAGACCUAACAAUGCUUUUGCAUCUUAUAUUUUUUUACUG
rnacentral:lncRNA from 1 species